GGCAAUGUAAAUGUCUUGAUCCUAGUAGAGAAAGAAGUGUCCCAUCUUCAUGUGUGCCACAAAGCUCAACAAUGUGUUCUGCAUGUCUUGAAUUUCCCAUGCUUGGCAUGCAAGGCUGCAUGCAUAGGCCUGUGCGUUGUGCUUCUCUAGAGUCGGAGGCUUCAGCAAACUAUGCCUGGCCGCAGGCGAGGAGGCGCAGAUUAUAAUAGAGGAGGUGGCCAAUCUCCUGCGCAGCAGCACGAGCAGCACCAACGACCCGGCCGGCCCUGGCAGCAACACGCGCGCAACUUCCCUGGCCUCAGACCUCACCUCCUCCCUGCAGUCCAUCCAGGGCCGCGCCCUCACCGCCCCGCCCGCCGGCCCCUCCUCUGGCCACGAGCUCUCUCUGCCCGCUCUCUCCGAGCAGCACCUGCCCCACGCCGCCACCGAGCCUCCGCCUCAGGCUGAAGG
rnacentral:lncRNA from 1 species